CAAUAGCGUAUAUUAAAGUUGUUGCGGUUAAAAAGCUCGUAGUUGGAUUUCUGCCGAGGACGUCCGGUCCACCCUCUGGGUGUGUACAUGGCACGGCCUGGGCAUCUUCUUGGGGUACGUAUCUGCACUUGACUGUGUGGUGCGGAAUCCAGGACUUUUACUUUGAGGAAAUUAGAGUGUUUCAAGCAGGCACGCGCCUUGAAUACAUUAGCAUGGAAUAAUAAGAUAGGACCUCGGUUCUAUUUUGUUGGUUUCUAGAGCUGAGGUAAUGAUUAAUAGGGAUAGUUGGGGGCAUUCGUAUUUAACUGUCAGAGGUGAAAUUCUUGGAUUUGUUAAAGGCGGACUACUGCGAAAGCAUUUGCCAAGGAUGUUUUCAUUGA
rnacentral:rRNA from 1 species